UUUGGACGGCUCAAUCUCGUACACGUUUUGCCAAAAAUCUUAAACACGUAUGUUACUGCUUUGUUAAUAUCGGUCUUCAUCUUCUUCUUUUCUCUAUCUCUUCUAACAAUAACAAAAACAGAAACACAACCAGAGGUUGCGAUUCAGAGAAGAGGAAUGAUAGUGAGGAGUUAAUCGAGAGUUUUGUGUGUAUUUGACGUUCUUUCUUUUUUUUUGCUCUUCAUCUUCUUCUUUUCUCUUCUAACAAAAACUGAAAUAGAAACCCAACCAGAGGUUGCGAUUCAGAGAAGAAUCGAAGAAAUGGAGAAGGAUAAACUGAUAUGUGAUAUGGAAAGGUGCAGGAAGAUUUCUGAUCCGCAACAGUCGCUUAUGAUGGCAAGCUGCAGGAAGAUUUUGGAUGCAGGAUUUGUUGUAGACUUGUAGUCAACAAAUGAUCACCAUUUACUGUAAAGAGUAUAUGAACAUCUAUUUUUUAGCUUGUUUUUGAGAAUGAGUGAUCUCUUUUGUAGUCAAACAACUUGGUUUUUAAGAAUCUAAAAAAAAAAUUAUAUCCUGUUGUCUCUGA